rnacentral:misc_RNA from 1 species
GUGAAUCAUCAAAUUUUUGAACGCAAAUUGCACUUUCUGGUAUUCCGGAAAGUAUGCCUGUUUGAGGGUCAGUUAAAUAAGAAUCGGUGUUAUUGCUAUUAAUGGCGAUGCAUCGGAAUUGAGUCGUCUUUACCUUUGGUUUUAGGGAAUUAAAAUUAUGUACGAUUUCUGGAAGUUUUUAAAUUAUUUACUUAAGCUCCUGGUAU